GUGGGCGAGAUGGAAGGAGGGCAGAUUGGAAUUCUGGGGUCUGUAGAACGCGGCAGUUUUAUUUUAUAAGAAUUUUCCCCACGGGAGCGGGAAUUUACCACAGCCUGGGUUUCCCUCUCCACGGGAGGAAGUUCCAUUCUGGGUUCUGAGAAAUUCCUAAAGAAUAUUUCGCUGAGUGCUCCUCACCCCAGCUGUCCUGCCAAGACAGAAUCUGAGUCCUGAUUAGCGGAGAAAGGGGGCGGGGGACGAAGUUCCAGAGAGUUCUGUUCCAUCAAUGACUUUGUCCAGAGUGGAGCGCCGUGCCAGCUGAUGGCAAUUUUUAUCGGAUAAUGAUUCCUCAGAGAGCUCCAGGGCCCAGCCGGGGGCCUUGUCAUCCACCCCCCUCCCGGGAGAUCUCAGCCAAUCUCAGGGCUAUAAAUAGCAUCUCCGACGACUCCCGCAUUUCUAUCUUCAGCUCCCAUCUCGCUCCCAAGUUUCAGGCUGGUCUGCCCAGCUGCCUCCUUGCUGUCUCCGCUUGGAUGGAGGAUGGACUUCCCAGCGUGUCCAGAUCGGAGCUCCGAUCUUCUUCCCCUGGGCAGGCCUCCCUGGACUUCCCUCUCAUCAAUGGCCUCCCUCCUCCUGGGCUGGUUCAGGCUGGAAGCUCUGGAAGCGUGCAUGACCCCACCCACUCUAGCCUAUCGGCAAAUUCCGUCGGCUGGACAUAGACCGCUCGGCGACUCCCCGGCCAUCUCCUACUUUGACUGGGAUGGGGAAAGGAGUGUGGGCUCCUGGAGUUGCUAGGUGGCCAGACAUCGUGGGAGGGGACCCCCAGCCAGGGCUGCCAGGCCACAUCCUAUGAGCAGUGCGGGGUUGGGGAGGGGGAUGGGAGGAGAACAGGCUGUAUUCGGGGACCACUAGGUGAGCCAGUGAGGACAUCCAUGAGGACAGCUAUUAGUAGGUUAGUGCCCUUCCCAAGGUUCAAGGCAGCACACGCUGUCCCCCAAUUUGGGAUCACGUGGAUGAACCCCAGUCACAACUGGGAUCAAAUUUCCUGACAGCUGGGUAGGAUGGAGGCUUGGAGUCUGAAGGAGUUGAUUGCAAUGCAGUGGUUCUCAACCAGGGCCAAUCGUGCCCCAGGGGCCAUUUGGCAAUGCUGGAGACAUUUUUGGUUGUCACAAUUCGGGGGAGGGUGUGCUAUAGAGUCUAGGAUGCUGCCGAACAUCCUACAACAUACAGGGCGGCUCCCCACAAUUAUUUGGCCCCACGGGUACAUACAACCAAGGUUGGGAAGCCCUGAUCUCCGGAAAUGUUAAAGGUAUUUCGUGCACACCUGAGCUGGGUUCAGGCUGGAGAGUAAAACCGAGUACAUAACAAGCUGAUUUAAAUUGACCACAGCACAUCAUGUGACACCCAACACCAAGAGGAGGCUGCGAGGGGCACUGAGGGAGAUGAAAGAUGGAGCGAACUCGGCGACACCCCUCCCGUUGAAAGCUGAAGGUCCAUGUCCCCUCCCCUUGAAUUUGGUGGGCUCUGGGACUACUCUGACCAAUAGAAUACAGUGAAGUGUCAUCGUAAAACUGCCAGCUCCCUGUCUUUUGGGAUGCUCGCUCUGGGAGCCCGGUGCUGCCCUGUAAGAAGUCGGCCUGUCCCAAGGCCGCCAUGGUGCAAGGAAGCCCAAGCUAGCCGCGUGGAGCACCCCAGCUGCUCCACCAGCCCAGCCCGGGUGUGUGAGAGAGGACGUCUGGGACCCUCCAGCCCAGUCUGGUCGCCUGCUGAAUCCCACUGAGUGACCUCAGUCCGGGCCAUAUGGAGCAGAAGAAUAGUCCAGCUGAGCCCUGACCGACUUCCUGACCCACAAAAUCACCAGGUCAGAUGCUGCCUCUGCGAGGGCGGGGCCCCUGACGUUCGCUGCCGUGUGCAUCAGGACCUGGGACGUCGUGCAUGCUUCAUCUGGGCUGGCCAUGUGACCGGCACUGACUGAUGUGACCAGGUGAUUCUGUGCAACCGAACAGGAUGGAAGUGAUGUAGUGUGACUUCCGAGACAGGCCUUGAGAGACACCGCAGCCUCGCUUCACCCUCUUGGAGCAGGGCCUGGAGACCAUCACGCCAGGAAGAUGCCCAGGCUAGCCAACAGGAGGAUGCGGGGCCCCGUGGAGCAGAACCGAGGGGUCCGCUGACAGCCAGCACCCACUGCCAGUCAUGUCCAGCUGGAACCCUGUGAAGAGUCCUGCCUUGCCCAGUCAGAAUGAUGCUUCCUGCCCGCAUCCGCCCAGGCCUCUCUUAGACGGGACGGUGGCCGGCUGUUAGUUGGGUCCUUCUCUCUCCUGGCUGCCACGUGAGAACAGAGCCAAAUCCUACCAAGAAGAAACCGCAGGGCGGUGCAGAUGCCCAGGGGGCUUCAACGGCCUGGCUCCGGAGGAACGGAUCCCAGGCUCUGUGCAAAAGGCCACCUCCUAAUUGGGCACCGGGACUUUCUGUGACAGGGGUCCCAGCCUCUCCCCGUAUCAUCCUCCCCACACCUUUCCAGGAAGGGUGAAGGAGUCAGAAUUAUGGACCCCGAAGAUGUCCACGUCUUAAUCGCUGGAGCCUGUGAGUGUGUCAUCACUUGGCAAGGGGGAAUUAAGGUCGCAGAUGGAAUUAAGGAUGCUAACGAGCAGACUCUGAAUAGGGACAUGGUCGUGGGUUAUCCCGUGGGCCCAAUGGAACCACAAGGGUCCUGGAAAACAGAAGAGAGAAGCAGAAGAGAGUCAGAGGGAAAGGCCACCACGGAAGAAUGGUCAGAGACGCAAAGUUGCUGGCUGCGAAGAUGGAGGAAGCAGGCCACAAGCCAAGGAAAGUGGGUGGUCUCCUGUAGCUGGAAAAGACAAGGAAGAGCUUCCAGAAAGGAACACAGCCCCGCCCACACCUUGAUCUUAGCCCAGCCAGACUCAUGGCAGCCUUCUAGCCUACAGAACUUAAAGAUAAUAAAUUUGUGUUGUUUAAGACUAAA
ensembl:lncRNA